GUCAUCUUACCUCAGCCUUCAUAUAAGAGGGAGACGACAUUGUAAUGUUUCUAAAACCCUAGCCGCUCUCCUCUUCCUCCCUUUCCUUUUCUGUAAUUCUUUCUCCAUUGUCUUCUUUCUUCCUCUUUCCUUCUCCAAUUUUUAACAAUCAUCUCUUAAAUAAUUUAAAAUCUUGUGUAUAUAUAUAUAUAUACACGCACACACAUGUAUACAUGGUUGCACUUUUUAUUUGGCUAUGUUUUCCUCUUACUCAUACAUCAAAUAAAAGUCGUAAAAAUUUCAUAUAUUAUUUGUACAAGUACGAGAUCCUUGAAGUUCCAAUGCAAAAGGCAUUUCUUCGUAAAGAGAUGGUGGAGGAACAACAUCAUACACAAAGUAUAACUUCAUAUUCGAUGGUUAAAGGUGUGUUUCUUUCUUCUAGAAUUUUAAUUUUUUAUAUGUCAAAAAAAAUAAUAUAUAAAGUGGAUUUUUUAAAAGUUUAGUUCGAUUUAGUUUAUUUAUCUUUUAUUCAAAACUUUUAAAAUAAUUUAUUUUAAAUUUAAAUUUUGGAUGAAUGACAAUUGCCACUUGUCAUCACUAUCGCGUCAUCGUAAUUCUCCUUAGUCUUCGUUGUCGCUACCAUUGUUA
rnacentral:lncRNA from 1 species